CAGCAGCCGCGGGAAUACGAAGGGUGCAAGCGUUACUCGGAAUUACUGGGCGUAAAGCGUGCGUAGGUGGUGGUUUAAGUCCGUUGUGAAAGCCCUGGGCUCAACCUGGGAAUUGCAGUGGAUACUGGGUCACUAGAGUGUGGUAGAGGAUAGUGGAAUUUCCGGUGUAGCAGUGAAAUGCGUAGAGAUCGGAAGGAACAUCUGUGGCGAAGGCGACUAUCUGGGCCAACACUGACACUGAGGCACGAAAGCGUGGGGAGCAAACAGGAUUAGAGACCCCUGUAGUCCCUGUCUCUUAUAC
rnacentral:rRNA from 1 species